UGGGGAAUUUUGGACAAUGGGCGCAAGCCUGAUCCAGCCAUGCCGCGUGCGGGAAGAAGGCCUUCGGGUUGUGAACCGCUUUUGUCAGGGAAGAAAUCUUCUGAGUUAAUACCUCGGGAGGAUGACGGUACCUGAAGAAUAAGCACCGGCUAACUACGUGCCAGCAGCCGCGGUAAUACGUAGGGUGCAAGCGUUAAUCGGAAUUACUGGGCGUAAAGCGUGCGCAGGCGGUUUUGUAAGACAGAGGUGAAAUCCCCGGGCUCAACCUGGGAACUGCCUUUGUGACUGCAAGGCUUGAGUGCGGCAGAGGGGGAUGGAAUUCCGCGUGUAGCAGUGAAAUGCGUAGAUAUGCGGAGGAACACCGAUGGCGAAGGCAAUCCCCUGGGCCUGCACUGACGCUCAUGCACGAAAGCGUGGGGAGCAAACAGGAUUAGAUACCCUGGUAGUCCACGCCCUAAACGAUGUCAACUGGUUGUUGGGAAGGUUCCUUCUCAGUAACGUAGCUAACGCGUGAAGUUGACCGCCUGGGGAGUACGGCCGCAAGGUU
rnacentral:rRNA from 1 species